UAAGGUCACGGCGAGACGAGCCGUUUAUCAUUACGAUAGGUGUCAAGUGGAAGUGCAGUGAUGUAUGCAGCUGAGGCAUCCUAACAGACCGAGAGAUUUGAAGCUGUGGCAUCCUAACAGACCGAGAGAUUUGAACCUUGCAGCUGCAGGCAUCCUAAUCAGACUCGAGAGAUUUGAAC
rnacentral:rRNA from 1 species